UACGAAGGGGGCUAGCGUUGCUCGGAAUUACUGGGCGUAAAGGGUGUGUAGGCGGAUGUCUAAGUCAGAGGUAAAAGCCCAGGCUUAACCUUGGAACUGCCUUUGAUACUGGGCAUCUUGAGUUCGGGAGAGGUAAGUGGAACUCCGAGUGUAGAGGUGAAAUUCGUAGAUAUUCGGAAGAACACCAGUGGCGAAGGCGACUUACUGGCCCGAUACUGACGCUGAACACGAAAGCGUGGGAGCAACAGG
rnacentral:rRNA from 1 species